rfam:Erinaceus europaeus unplaced genomic scaffold scaffold00023, whole genome shotgun sequence
AUCUAUGACCAUACCACCCUGAACGUGCUGAUUUCAUCUGAUCUCGGAAGCUAAGCAGGGUUGGGCCUGGUUAGUACUUGGAUGGGAGAAAUUUUAAGUAUCAAUAUUUU